UUACUGCACGAAUGAAGCCCCCGGUUAAUUCCGUGUCCAGCAGGCCGCGGUUAUUACGGAGGGGUCGAGCGUUAAUUCGGAAUUACUGGGCGUAAAAGCCCCCGCCGGGUGGUUUGGUAAAUUCAGAAUCGAAAAGCCCCGGGCUCCAACCUUCGGAAUCGCCUUUUAAAAUGUCCAGGCUUGAGUUUCUGUAGAAGGGGGGGUAGAAUUUUCAGGUGUAGGCGGUGAAAUGGUAGGAGAUUUGGAAAGGAAUACCGGUGGCGAAAGGCGGCCCCCCUGGACAAAAUACUGACACUCUAGAUGCGAAAAGCGUGGGGAGCCAAACAGGAUUUAGAUACCCUGGUAGUCCACGCCGUAAACGAUGUUUACUUGGAGGUUGUGGCCUUGAGCCGUGGCUUUCGGAGCUAACGCGUUAAAAUAGACCCGCCUGGGGAGUACGGUCGCAAGGUUAAAACUCAAAUGAAUUGACGGGGGCCCGCACAAGCGGUGGAGCAUGUGGUUUAAUUCGAUGCAACGGGAAGAACCUUACCUAGUCUUGACAUCCAGAGAACUUUCCAGAGAUGGAUUGGUGCCUUUGGGAAUUUGGAGACAGGUGCUGCAUGGCUGUUGUCAGCUCGUGUUGUGAAAUGUUGGGUUAAGUCCCGCAACGAGCGCAACCCUUAUCCUUUUUUGCCAGCGAGUAAUGUCGGGAACUCCAGGGAGACUGCCGGUGAUAAACCGGAGGAAGGUGGGGACGACGUCAAGUCAUCAUGGCCCUUACGAGUAGGGCUACACACGUGCUACAAUGGCCCCUACAGAGGGCAGCAAGCUUGCGAAAGUGAGCGAAUCCCAAAAAGUGCGUCGUAGUCCGGAUUGGAGUCUGCAACUCGACUCCAUGAAGUCGGAAUCGCUAGUAAUCGCGGAUCAGAAAGCCACGGUGUAUACGUUCCCGGGCCUUGUGGCAUCAUUUUGUCGCAAGGUAACCAUGCUAGAGUUGAUCCUGGCUCAGGAUAAGUCGUAACAAGGUAACCAUGCUAUGAGUGACCC
rnacentral:rRNA from 1 species